GUUAUGAAUUGUUGAGAGUUAUUUAGAUUAACUUUCCCCUGUCAGAACAUAUAUCGUUUUAAUUUGGAUCGACGUUUUGAAACACUCAAAAUUUACUUUGAGUGAGGCUCUGUGGUUGCCGAGACCGCACGAAAUUUGCGGAGAAAGUUUGGAAGGAAUGAAGCACCGUCAAACCAAGGAAUUAGGAAUUUUAUUGUUAAAGUGAGCAGAAGUGGAAUGCUGGUGGACAUGACACAUGUUUCGCAUGUGCAUCCAAGGCGUACACUUGAAGCAGUUGCUGCUGUGAGCGAAAGUGUGUGUCUUAACCCGUCAGCAUCAACUCGGCGCAAAAGUCAACAACUGAACAUUAGUCGUACCACCUUAAGGAAGAUUUUAAACAAAGAUCUUGGAUAAAGUGCAUGCGGACAAUCCUCAAACAAUUGACCACUUGAAGCAAAACAUUCAAGCUCAAAUCGCUCAAAUAGACCAGCAAACUCCUAAUAAAGUGCUUGAAAAUUGGAAUUCUGGAAUGUAGUACCUACUGCCGAGUCAGCAAGGGUGACCACUUGACUGAAAUCAUUUUCCGUACUUCAUCGGAAUACACAUUGUAGCAUACGAAAUAAAAUAAAUAAUAAAAAAAUCAA